ACACAAACAAGAAGAAUGAUGGAUCGUCGUCAAGUUUUGUUGUGUUUCACUUUCAUUUUCAUUGCCUUUCGCCGUCGCCGGAGCUCAGUCUCCCUCCAGUCCUCCCACCCACCCCCUACUCCGCCCACCCCCACACUCCUCCCCCUGUUUCAGCUCCCCCUCCUGCAACUCCGCUCCCGUAACACCACCUCCGGUCACUCCUCCUCCACUUCCCCACCACCGCGCGUCUCCUCCUCCGGCUUCCCCACCACCGGCGACUCCACCUCCGGCCUCCCACCACCGGCGUCUCCUCCUCCAGCUUCCCCACCUCCAGCCACUCCUCCACCGGCUUCUCCGCCACCGGCGACUCCUCCACCUGCAACCCCACCACCGGCAACUCCACCGCCUGCACCAUUGACGUCCCCACCGGCGGCGGUUCCGGCCCUGCACCCAGCAAGAAGAAGGUAAAGGCGGCUCCGGGUCCGUCCCCUGUCUCGAGCCCGCCAGCGCCGUCAGCGGAGGCUCCAGGACCUGCUGGCCCUGAAUCUCCCUACCCCAUCUCAGAACGACAAUAGCGGAGUCGAAAAAGUUUGGAGAAAGGAGAGUAUGGUGGGGAGCAUAUUGAUUGGAAUGGGAUAUGUAAUUUUGAUGCUUUAGGAACAAGAAAGGGGUUGGACAUAGUUUGAUAUAAUAUGUCUUUCUUCCUUUUGCAGUGCCCCCUCUUUUUGCUGUCUAUGUGUUGCCCUUUUUCAUUAUUCUUCUUUUUGGUUAUUGCUCUAUAUUUCAUUUCAUUUUGAUUAUUAUUAGCCCAUGUCUUGUUUGGGACUUUUGAUUUAUUAUUAUUAGCCUUUGGACUCUCUCUCUUAUAUAUAUAUAUAUAUAUAUAUAUAUAAUUACCCAUUUGCUUGGGAUUCUUUUGAGCCAUAA